GCUUACGGCCAUACCACCUUAGGCACGCCCGAUUCUCGUCUGAUCUCGGAAGCUAAGCAGGGUCGGGCCUGGUUAGUACUUGGAUGGGUGACCGCCUGGGAAUACCAGGUGCUGUAAGCA
rnacentral:rRNA from 1 species